rnacentral:rRNA from 1 species
UUAAGCGACUAAGCGUACACGGUGGAUGCCCUGGCAGUCAGAGGCGAUGAAGGACGUGCUAAUCUGCGAUAAGCGUCGGUGAGGUGAUAUGAACCGUUAUAACCGGCGAUUUCCGAAUGGGGAAACCCAGUGUGUUUCGACACACUAUCAUUAACUGAAUCCAUAGGUUAAUGAGGCGAACCGGGGGAACUGAAACAUCUAAGUACCCCGAGGAAAAGAAAUCAACCGAGAUUCCCCCAGUAGCGGCGAGCGAACGGGGAGGAGCCCAGAGCCUGAAUCAGUGUGUGUGUUAGUGGAAGCGUCUGGAAAGGCGCGCGAUACAGGGUGACAGCCCCGUACACAAAAAUGCACAUAUUGUGAGCUCGAUGAGUAGGGCGGGACACGUGGUAUCCUGUCUGAAUAUGGGGGACCAUCCUCCAAGGCUAAAUACUCCUGACUGACCGAUAGUGAACCAGUACCGUGAGGGAAAGGCGAAAAGAACCCCGGCGAGGGAGUGAAAAAGAACCUGAAACCGUGUACGUACAAGCAGUGGGAGCCUCUUAAUGGGGUGACUGCGUACCUUUUGUAUAAUGGGUCAGCGACUUAUAUUCUGUAGCAAGGUUAACCGAAUAGGGGAGCCGAAGGGAAACCGAGUCUUAACUGGGCGUUAAGUUGCAGGGUAUAGACCCGAAACCCGGUGAUCUAGCCAUGGGCAGGUUGAAGGUUGGGUAACACUAACUGGAGGACCGAACCGACUAAUGUUGAAAAAUUAGCGGAUGACUUGUGGCUGGGGGUGAAAGGCCAAUCAAACCGGGAGAUAGCUGGUUCUCCCGAAAGCUAUUUAGGUAGCGCCUCGUGAAUUCAUCUCCGGGGUAGAGCACUGUUUCGGCAAGGGGUCAUCCCGACUUACCAACCCGAUGCAAACUGCGAAUACCGGAGAAUGUUAUCACGGGAGACACACGGCGGGUGCUAACGUCCGUCGUGAAGAGGAAACAACCCAGACCGCCAGCUAAGGUCCCAAAGUCAUGGUUAAGUGGGAAACGAUGUGGGAAGGCCCAGACAGCCAGGAUGUUGGCUUAGAAGCAGCCAUCAUUUAAAGAAAGCGUAAUAGCUCACUGGUCGAGUCGGCCUGCGCGGAAGAUGUAACGGGGCUAAACCAUGCACCGAAGCUGCGGCAGCGACACUAUGUGUUGUUGGGUAGGGGAGCGUUCUGUAAGCCUGUGAAGGUGUACUGUGAGGUAUGCUGGAGGUAUCAGAAGUGCGAAUGCUGACAUAAGUAACGAUAAAGCGGGUGAAAAGCCCGCUCGCCGGAAGACCAAGGGUUCCUGUCCAACGUUAAUCGGGGCAGGGUGAGUCGACCCCUAAGGCGAGGCCGAAAGGCGUAGUCGAUGGGAAACAGGUUAAUAUUCCUGUACUUGGUGUUACUGCGAAGGGGGGACGGAGAAGGCUAUGUUGGCCGGGCGACGGUUGUCCCGGUUUAAGCGUGUAGGCUGGUUUUCCAGGCAAAUCCGGAAAAUCAAGGCUGAGGCGUGAUGACGAGGCACUACGGUGCUGAAGCGACAAAUGCCCUGCUUCCAGGAAAAGCCUCUAAGCAUCAGGUAACAUCAAAUCGUACCCCAAACCGACACAGGUGGUCAGGUAGAGAAUACCAAGGCGCUUGAGAGAACUCGGGUGAAGGAACUAGGCAAAAUGGUGCCGUAACUUCGGGAGAAGGCACGCUGAUAUGUAGGUGAAGCGACUUGCUCGUGGAGCUGAAAUCAGUCGAAGAUACCAGCUGGCUGCAACUGUUUAUUAAAAACACAGCACUGUGCAAACACGAAAGUGGACGUAUACGGUGUGACGCCUGCCCGGUGCCGGAAGGUUAAUUGAUGGGGUUAGCGGUAACGCGAAGCUCUUGAUCGAAGCCCCGGUAAACGGCGGCCGUAACUAUAACGGUCCUAAGGUAGCGAAAUUCCUUGUCGGGUAAGUUCCGACCUGCACGAAUGGCGUAAUGAUGGCCAGGCUGUCUCCACCCGAGACUCAGUGAAAUUGAACUCGCUGUGAAGAUGCAGUGUACCCGCGGCAAGACGGAAAGACCCCGUGAACCUUUACUAUAGCUUGACACUGAACAUUGAGCCUUGAUGUGUAGGAUAGGUGGGAGGCUUUGAAGUGUGGACGCCAGUCUGCAUGGAGCCGACCUUGAAAUACCACCCUUUAAUGUUUGAUGUUCUAACGUGGGCCCCUUACCGGGGUUGCGGACAGUGUCUGGUGGGUAGUUUGACUGGGGCGGUCUCCUCCUAAAGAGUAACGGAGGAGCACGAAGGUUGGCUAAUCCUGGUCGGACAUCAGGAGGUUAGUGCAAUGGCAUAAGCCAGCUUGACUGCGAGCGUGACGGCGCGAGCAGGUGCGAAAGCAGGUCAUAGUGAUCCGGUGGUUCUGAAUGGAAGGGCCAUCGCUCAACGGAUAAAAGGUACUCCGGGGAUAACAGGCUGAUACCGCCCAAGAGUUCAUAUCGACGGCGGUGUUUGGCACCUCGAUGUCGGCUCAUCACAUCCUGGGGCUGAAGUAGGUCCCAAGGGUAUGGCUGUUCGCCAUUUAAAGUGGUACGCGAGCUGGGUUUAGAACGUCGUGAGACAGUUCGGUCCCUAUCUGCCGUGGGCGCUGGAGAACUGAGGGGGGCUGCUCCUAGUACGAGAGGACCGGAGUGGACGCAUCACUGGUGUUCGGGUUGUCAUGCCAAUGGCACUGCCCGGUAGCUAAAUGCGGAAGAGAUAAGUGCUGAAAGCAUCUAAGCACGAAACUUGCCCCGAGAUGAGUUCUCCUGACUCCUUGAGAGUCCUGAAGGAACGUUGAAGACGACGACGUUGAUAGGCCGGGUGUGUAAGCGCAGCGAUGCGUUGAGCUAACCGGUACUAAUGAACCGUGAGGCUUAACCU